rnacentral:piRNA from 1 species
UUGUCAAUCAAGUGACUGUCACCACCUCA